rnacentral:rRNA from 1 species
UUAAGCGACUAAGCGUACACGGUGGAUGCCCUGGCAGUCAGAGGCGAUGAAGGACGUGCUAAUCUGCGAAAAGCGUCGGUAAGGUGAUAUGAACCGUUAUAACCGGCGAUGUCCGAAUGGGGAAACCCAGUGCAAUUCGUUGCACUAUCGUUAACUGAAUACAUAGGUUAACGAGGCGAACCGGGGGAACUGAAACAUCUAAGUACCCCGAGGAAAAGAAAUCAACCGAGAUUCCCCCAGUAGCGGCGAGCGAACGGGGAGCAGCCCAGAGUCUGAAUCAGCUUGUGUGUUAGUGGAACGGUCUGGAAAGUCCGACGGUACAGGGUGAUAGUCCCGUACACCAAAAUGCACAGGCUGUGAACUCGAAGAGUAGGGCGGGACACGUGGUAUCCUGUCUGAAUAUGGGGGGACCAUCCUCCAAGGCUAAAUACUCCUGACUGACCGAUAGUGAACCAGUACCGUGAGGGAAAGGCGAAAAGAACCCCGGCGAGGGAAGUGAAAAAGAACCUGAAACCGUGUACGUACAAGCAGUGGGAGCACCUUCGGGUGUGACUGCGUACCUUUUGUAUAAUGGGUCAGCGACUUAUAUUCUGUAGCAAGGUUAACCGUAUAGGGGAGCCGCAGGGAAACCGAGUCUUAACUGGGCGUUAAGUUGCAGGGUAUAGACCCGAAACCCGGUGAUCUAGCCAUGGGCAGGUUGAAGGUUGGGUAACACUAACUGGAGGACCGAACCGACUAAUGUUGAAAAAUUAGCGGAUGACUUGUGGCUGGGGGUGAAAGGCCAAUCAAACCGGGAGAUAGCUGGUUCUCCCCGAAAGCUAUUUAGGUAGCGCCUCGUGAANUCAUCUUCGGGGGUAGAGCACUGUUUCGGCUAGGGGGUCAUCCCGACUUACCAACCCGAUGCAAACUACGAAUACCGAAGAAUGUUAUCACGGGAGACACACGGCGGGUGCUAACGUCCGUCGUGAAGAGGGAAACAACCCAGACCGCCAGCUAAGGUCCCAAAGUCAUGGUUAAGUGGGAAACGAUGUGGGAAGGCACAGACAGCCAGGAUGUUGGCUUAGAAGCAGCCAUCAUUUAAAGAAAGCGUAAUAGCUCACUGGUCGAGUCGGCCUGCGCGGAAGAUGUAACGGGGCUAAACCAUGCACCGAAGCUGCGGCAGCGACACUAUGUGUUGUUGGGUAGGGGAGCGUUCUGUAAGCCUGCGAAGGUGACCUGUGAGGGUUGCUGGAGGUAUCAGAAGUGCGAAUGCUGACAUAAGUAACGAUAAAGCGGGUGAAAAGCCCGCUCGCCGGAAGACCAAGGGUUCCUGUCCAACGUUAAUCGGGGCAGGGUGAGUCGACCCCUAAGGCGAGGCCGAAAGGCGUAGUCGAUGGGAAACAGGUUAAUAUUCCUGUACUUGGUGUUACUGCGAAGGGGGGACGGAGAAGGCUAUGUUAGCCGGGCGACGGUUGUCCCGGUUUAAGCAUGUAGGCUGGUUAUCCAGGCAAAUCCGGAUAAUCAAGGCUGAGGUGUGAUGACGAGGCACUACGGUGCUGAAGUAACAAAUGCCCUGCUUCCAGGAAAAGCCUCUAAGCAUCAGGUAACAUCAAAUCGUACCCCAAACCGACACAGGUGGUCAGGUAGAGAAUACCAAGGCGCUUGAGAGAACUCGGGUGAAGGAACUAGGCAAAAUGGUGCCGUAACUUCGGGAGAAGGCACGCUGGUGUGUAGGUGAAGUCCCUGCGGAUGGAGCUGAGACCAGUCGAAGAUACCAGCUGGCUGCAACUGUUUAUUAAAAACACAGCACUGUGCAAACACGAAAGUGGACGUAUACGGUGUGACGCCUGCCCGGUGCCGGAAGGUUAAUUGAUGGGGUUAUCCGUAAGGAGAAGCUCUUGAUCGAAGCCCCGGUAAACGGCGGCCGUAACUAUAACGGUCCUAAGGUAGCGAAAUUCCUUGUCGGGUAAGUUCCGACCUGCACGAAUGGCGUAAUGAUGGCCAGGCUGUCUCCACCCGAGACUCAGUGAAAUUGAACUCGCUGUGAAGAUGCAGUGUACCCGCGGCAAGACGGAAAGACCCCGUGAACCUUUACUAUAGCUUGACACUGAACAUUGAGCCUUGAUGUGUAGGAUAGGUGGGAGGCUUUGAAGCGUGGACGCCAGUCUGCGUGGAGCCAACCUUGAAAUACCACCCUUUAAUGUUUGAUGUUCUAACGUUGGCCCCUUACCGGGGUUGCGGACAGUGUCUGGUGGGUAGUUUGACUGGGGCGGUCUCCUCCCAAAGCGUAACGGAGGAGCACGAAGGUUAGCUAAUCCUGGUCGGACAUCAGGAGGUUAGUGCAAUGGCAUAAGCUAGCUUGACUGCGAGCGUGACGGCGCGAGCAGGUGCGAAAGCAGGUCAUAGUGAUCCGGUGGUUCUGAAUGGAAGGGCCAUCGCUCAACGGAUAAAAGGUACUCCGGGGAUAACAGGCUGAUACCGCCCAAGAGUUCAUAUCGACGGCGGUGUUUGGCACCUCGAUGUCGGCUCAUCACAUCCUGGGGCUGAAGUAGGUCCCAAGGGUAUGGCUGUUCGCCAUUUAAAGUGGUACGCGAGCUGGGUUUAGAACGUCGUGAGACAGUUCGGUCCCUAUCUGCCGUGGGCGCUGGAGAAUUGAGGGGGGCUGCUCCUAGUACGAGAGGACCGGAGUGGACGCAUCACUGGUGUUCGGGUUGUCAUGCCAAUGGCACUGCCCGGUAGCUAAAUGCGGAAGAGAUAAGUGCUGAAAGCAUCUAAGCACGAAACUUGCCCCGAGAUGAGUUCUCCCUGAGACUUUAAGUCUCCUGAAGGAACGUUGAAGACGACGACGUUGAUAGGCCGGGUGUGUAAGCGCAGCGAUGCGUUGAGCUAACCGGUACUAAUGAACCGUGAGGCUUAACCUU